rnacentral:rRNA from 1 species
UACAGAGGGCUCGAGCGUUAGGCGGAAUCACUGGGCUUAAAGCGUGUGUAGGUGGAUGCCUAAGUACCUUGUGAAAUCCCACAGCUUAACUGUGGAACUGCUUGGUAUACUGGGUGUCUUGAGUCACUCAGGGGCGAGCGGAACAAAUGGUGGAGCGGUGAAAUGCGUAGAUAUCAUUUGGAACGCCAAUGGUGAAAACGGCUCGCUGGGGGUGUACUGACACUGAGGUACGAAAGCGUGGGGAGCAAACAGG